rnacentral:rRNA from 1 species
UACGAAGGGGGCUAGCGUUGCUCGGAAUCACUGGGCGUAAAGCGCACGUAGGCGGCUUUUUAAGUCAGGGGUGAAAUCCUGGAGCUCAACUCCAGAACUGCCUUUGAUACUGGGAAGCUUGAGUCCGGGAGAGGUGAGUGGAACUCCGAGUGUAGAGGUGAAAUUCGUAGAUAUUCGCAAGAACACCAGUGGCGAAGGCGGCUCACUGGUCCGGUUCUGACGCUGAGGCGCGAAAGCGUGGGGAGCGAACAGG